rnacentral:lncRNA from 1 species
GGCUGGUGGAGCCCCUGGCCGGCUUCCAGGCAGACUGUGUUCUGAGCUGGGCUUCUCGUGGCCCGGAUGCCAGCAUUUGGCUGUCGCUUCUCUGAAGCUGUUUAAUUUCUCCGGAGAAGAGCCUUGCACCCCUGCCUGGCUUUGGGAGCGAGAAUAGAGUAGGAGAAGCCGGACCCUCUGCUGAGGCCUGCAGUUCAGUCGUUCUCGGCUUCUGCCCGUUCCCUGGACGCCUGGACCCAGGGUGAAGGUGGGCCCUGCUGGGGAGCUGGAGGACAGCGGGGCACCCACAGGUUCCCUCUUUGUAUCCCCGCUGUUCCCCAGGCCUGUGGGCUCACGGUGUCCUCUGUCCACACCCCUCUGAGCCCGGAAACUUCCUGACCUCUCUUGUUUCCCUGCUUUGUCUUUCCCUCUCCCCAUCCUUGUGGUUUUAUAUCACUUAUCAUGUUCAUUGUUUCUUUUUUUUAAUCUAUUUUUCUUCCUUUCCUCCCAUUUUAGUUUUGGGGGAAAGCCAUAAUAACCAUAGGUAGACAGUCACCAUCAUAUCUCUUUUUAAGGAAAUGUUCCUCAAAAUUGGUUCAAAUCAUAAAAAUAAUUCGUGUACAUUUAGACAUCACAGAAGUAGAAAGAACCAAAAAUAUAGUAAUCUAUUGGAGGCUGAUCAGACCCUCAAUCACUUACUCAAGUGUAUGAUGGUGAGAUUAAAAAAGAGAAGAUCUUACUGCAUAAAGGAGGGGCCCAGGGCGGUCAUGGCUCUCAUCAGGCUAAGACACUGUCUCCGGGGCUCGCCAGUAUUUACUGAACACGCAGCUCCUAGAAGGGGUAAGGGCAGAGCAGCGAACAGUGGAGUGGAGGGGGCUGAUUUGAGCAGGGUCCUAGCAACAAGGGAACGAGACAUUCUAGCAAGAGCAGCUCAUAGAUAAAUGGGAGAUUUGUUUCUUCGAGCGGAUUAAUUUUGCCUCUCUAGGAGUUUUCUGUACGAGUUGUGCUGCCCUUAGCGGCACUACUGUCUUGCUAUGCAAGACGUCACAGCAUCACGGAUCAUUGAGACUUCCGCUCUGACCAGUGGUGUGGGGAGUUGUUCCGUUCCCGCACACCAGCUGCCGGCUUUUCAGGCAAGCAUGGUGGGCUAAGAGGCAGACUCAGACUUUUACUAUGAAAGCCAAUUUAUAUGAAUGUGCAGCUCCCUCAGGGUGGUUUCCAUCAGUCAUCCCACUCAUAAGGCACAUUUCCUUCUUACUGUUCUUCAAAGAAUUGUACACAUUUGACAUCAGUCUGUAAAGAUAAUUUUUAUGUUUUGCUCUUUCACUUAUAGUAUUGCAAUGAAAGUUUCCUAUGUUAUGAAACUUCUGGAGAUGUUUUGACAAUAAUUGAUCCUGUGUUGCACAAAAGUUUACUUAGUUAUCUCCUGCGGUUUAGCCUCUAGGCUGUUUUCUAUUAGUUCAUGCUCACGACCUUUGCACAGAAAGCUUGUUUUAUUUUAAAAUUUUUAAAUUUGAGAAGUUUUGUCAUAGAGCAAUAUAGUGGAAGAAAUGCCAGCUUCCAGAUAGACAUUCUUGUCGUAAUCCCCAGAACCCAGGAAGGUGACCUUAUUUGGGAAAAGGGUUGUUGCAGGUGUCACAAAAUGAAGAAUCUUGAAAGGCGAUUUUCCUGGAUUGACUGAGCGGCCUACAGCACGAUGACCAUGUUCUUGGGAGAGAGGAGGGGUCACAGGCUGAGGAAGUGGCUGCCUCCACAGCUGGAAGAGCCCAGGAACAGAAUUUUCUGUCAGCACUGUGGUUGUGGAUUUCUGGCCUCCAGUUCUGCUGUUUGAUGCCAUCGAGUUUGUGGUACUUUGUUACGGUUGCCCCAGAAAACAGACGGCAGCGGGGGCUCCCGUAGAGGGAGCUCGAGUGGCAGUGCCCUUGCCUGCAGUCGGGUUAACAGGCUUCGCGGAGAGCCGGACCCUGCUGCACCGAUAAACCUGCCUCUGGGCCCGGGGCAGGCGCAGGGGUGAAGCCACGUCCCGGCAAAGAGCCCUGACGGUGACCGACCGCUGUCCACACCGGGCUGCGCCCCAGGCCGCCUCUGCGCCACCUCCCAAGCCGCCUGGGUUUGCGUCCGCCGUUUAAUGAGGCCUCCUUCCGAGACUCCAGAAAAGUGUUUUCGGGCGCGAGGCACAGAGUUGGUCAAGGCAGACAGUGCUGGCAGCAGGCCUUGGGCUGGGCAAGCGGAGAAGUAAGGACUCACUGGACUGAUUCAUUGACUCCACUGAGCGGCCCGAUUGGACUUGUGUGUUCUGAAGCAUAACGAGAAGCAUCACUGCUUCACAUUUUUCCCAAAGGGAGGACUUUUUAAAAAUUUGAUAGGUUAAAUUAAAAAGAAUUUUUUUUUGAGUCAAGGUCUCCCUGUGUAGUUCAGACUGGUCUAGAACUCACAGAGAUCUUCCUGCCUCAGCCUCCCAAGUGCUGGAAUUACAGGCACCACACCCAGGUAAAUAUAAAAUCUUUUAUGGAUGUAGAUGACGUCAGUUAUAUUAAAUAUACCCUACAUCAACUAUUUUAAGCAUACAUUUGAAAUUUUACCAGUGGUAGCAUUGAGAAACAGAAUAUGGGUAAUUUAUCCAGAGAUACACAGUUGAAAAGUGAAAGAAAUAGAAUAUAAGCCCUGGCAUUGACUUUAGGGCCCACUGUCCUAACCACUGUGUUAUUAGUAUAGUUACACAUACUAUAUUGUAAGAUAAU